rnacentral:rRNA from 1 species
AGAGUUUGAUCCUGGCUCAGAUUGAACGCUGGCGGCAGGCCUAACACAUGCAAGUCGAGCGGAUGAGUGGAGCUUGCUCCAUGAUUCAGCGGCGGACGGGUGAGUAAUGCCUAGGAAUCUGCCUGGUAGUGGGGGACAACGUUUCGAAAGGAACGCUAAUACCGCAUACGUCCUACGGGAGAAAGUGGGGGAUCUUCGGACCUCACGCUAUCAGAUGAGCCUAGGUCGGAUUAGCUAGUUGGUGAGGUAAUGGCUCACCAAGGCGACGAUCCGUAACUGGUCUGAGAGGAUGAUCAGUCACACUGGAACUGAGACACGGUCCAGACUCCUACGGGAGGCAGCAGUGGGGAAUAUUGGACAAUGGGCGAAAGCCUGAUCCAGCCAUGCCGCGUGUGUGAAGAA